rnacentral:rRNA from 1 species
GUGGGGGAUAUUGCACAAUGGGGGAAACCCUGAUGCAGCGACGCCGCGUGUGGGAAGACGGUCCUCUGGAUUGUAAACCACUGUCCCCAGGGACGAAGAUGACGGUACCUGGGGAGGAAGCUCCGGCUAACUACGUGCCAGCAGCCGCGGUAAUACGUAGGGAGCAAGCGUUGUCCGGAAUUACUGGGUGUAAAGGGAGCGUAGGCGGGGAUGCAAGUUGGGUGUCAAAACUAUCGGCUCAACUGAUAGUCGCACUCAAAACUGCAGCUCUUGAGUGAAGUAGAGGCAGGCGGAAUUCCUAGUGUAGCGGUGAAAUGCGUAGAUAUUAGGAGGAACACCAGUGGCGAAGGCGGCCUGCUGGGCUUUUACUGACGCUGAGGCUCGAAAGUGUGGGGAGCAAACAGG